rnacentral:rRNA from 1 species
GACGAACGCUGGCGGUGUGCUUAACACAUGCAAGUCGAACGGAAAGGCCCUGCUUUUGUGGGGUGCUCGAUUGGCGAACGGGUGAGUAACACGUGAGUAACCUGCCCUUGACUUUGGGAUAACUUCAGGAAACUGGGGCUAAUACCGGAUAGGAGCUCCUGCUGCAUGGUGGGGGUUGGAAAGUUUCGGCGGUUGGGGAUGGACUCGCGGCUUAUCGGCUUGUUGGUGGGGUAGUGGCUUACCAAGGCUUUGACGGGUAGCCGGCCUGGGAGGGUGACCGGGGUCAUUGGGACUGUGAUACGGCCCAGACUCCUACGGGAGGCAGAAGCGGGGAAUAUUGCACAAUGGGCGGAAGCCUGAUGCAGCAACGCCGGGUGCGGGAUGACGGCCUUCGGGGUGUAAACCGCUUUAGCCUGUGACGAAGCGUGAGUGACGGUAAUGGGUAAAGAAGCACCGGCUAAGUACGUG